AUAAGUUCUUAUCUCUGGUAAAAUGCUUAUAUUACUCCUCUAAACCAUGCUCAAUUCAGGCCUUUGUCUUUGUUAAGUGCCUUUUAUUUCUUUCUUUUUCUCCCUCUUUUGAAACUUUCAAACACCCUCAAGUACAGACUGAUGAAGUCAGGGGAUUCAGGAGAAAGAAUCUGAGCCUUGCCAAAAUCAUGUCAUGUAAUAAUUCUCUUCCUUCUGCUUUGUGUGUGUGGACACAAGUAUGAGGUACACAGCGUGUAUGAAACCAGGAGCAGCUGUGCCAUGGCAAUCCUUCUAAGCACUGCCCUGUUGACAUUGCAGAACUUCUGCCUUGUUUAUUCCAUUGCUUUGAGUUGAUUCAGAUGGGCAGAUUGGGAAGUAGUCUUUGCACAUGAUGCUGGCUUCCCUUUCUGAAUAUCUGUAGAAGUUAAUAUAUAUGUGUGUGUGUGUGUGUGUGUGUGUGUGUGUGUGUGUGUGUGUAUAUAUAUAUAUAUGUAGGGCAUUAUAUAUAUAAAGCAUAUGUGUUGGUUAUUGCAAACAUAAUAAACUCUGUGGACUCCUUGACUAUUUCUGGAUGUAAUCCACUUCUCUCUACCCCUCAAAUCUUUCAGUAGUAGUGUGUGAGAAAGCAUCAGGAUAACAAGAGCAUUUGUUGGUCGAGGUGAUACGAUGCCCUAUGCAGACAAGAUUCAGUACUAGUGCUAGAACCAUGGGGUGGUGUCUGAAUACACUUUGGAGGAGGUUGGCACUCAUGUCAAUAUUAAAAGACGUUUUCUUCUGGAAAAUGAUCUUGAAAUUGUAUAUCUGAAACGUCAAUAAACUUAGAUUUUUAGACAGUGAGGAAACACUUGUAUAAUCAGGACGUACUUGAGAAAUGUUCAGUCUGUUUAUUGCCAGAUGAUCAGAUUUGCUCUGAUUUCAUGAUUGUUUAAAUGUCUUUCCUGAGCAAAAUAAAAUAACUUUCAGUAUCUAAGACUUGAGGGGGGGGUUCUGUUUUGUUUUUGUUUUUAGAUGUAACAUGUUGAAAAAGACUAAGUUGAACUGAUCCUCUGUAUAUCUACAAAGGACCCCCUUUUAAGUAAAAUUUUAGUUG
rnacentral:lncRNA from 1 species